rnacentral:rRNA from 1 species
ACCAGCAGCCAUAACACCUGUAGCUUAGACCAGCUACUCCAUCUGAAGCCAAGCAGGUUUGUGACUGACCAGUACUUAGAUGAGAGACCAACUAGGAAGGCUGGAUCGCUGCUGGAA